UCUUCGGAUCUAGUGGCGGACGGGUGAGUAACACGUUGGUACCUACCCCGAAGUGGGGAAUAACUGCCCGAAAGGGUGGCUAAUACCGCAUAAUACCGCAAGGUUAAAGCAUUUAUGCGCUUCGGGAGGGGCCUGCGUCCCAUUAGCUUGUUGGUAGUGUAAUGGACUACCAAGGCGACGAUGGGUAGCUGGAUCGAGAGGUUGACCAGCCACACUGGGACUGAGAUACGGCCCAG
rnacentral:rRNA from 1 species